rnacentral:rRNA from 1 species
UUGGACAAUGGGCGCAAGCCUGAUCCAGCCAUGCCGCGUGAGUGAAGAAGGCCUUCGGGUUGUAAAGCUCUUUCAGUCGAGAAGAAAAAGCUGCAGUGAAUAACUGUAGUUCAUGACGGUAUCGACAGAAGAAGCACCGGCUAACUACGUGCCAGCAGCCGCGGUAAUAAGGGC